UUCCAGCUUGUUCUAGAAGUUUCCACCCCUUCCAUAACUUUCUUGGACCUUCUAGAAUAGACCUUCCAUGUGCUCUUGCCUCUUCCCUUUCCUUCAGAUGGAGGCGUAUUUCUAUCAUCCGUGAACGUAAAAAUGACACAGGAGGCAGCCAGAAGAGCCCCGAAAAUACCCAUCAGCCUGCGGUUCAAAGAAGUGCAUUGGGCAUUCUUGGUUAGAAGUGGGGCAAAAAUGGUGAAGGCGAUGAUUAUAGCAGUUGGCAAGAGAACAUUGAGCCUAGCAGUACCACUGAGGAUGACAUUGACUAGAUAUAGGUGAGUAGCCUGGUUGCCGAAGCAAUUUGCAGUUGAAGAGGAUGUUUUAAGGGCAUGCAAGGAGAUAACUUGUUGAGAUGGAGAGAAGCAAGCCAUUAAAUUCCUAAAAUGAAGCAAAGUAGAAAUGUAAUAGCUAUGUUUCUAUCGUGCAUUACAAUACAAGUUGAGGGUGAUAAUGAGGAACAAUACAAGGAGACUACCAUAGAUAGCUG